rnacentral:rRNA from 1 species
AAAUGAAUUGACGGGAGCCCGCACAAGCAGUGGAGUAUGUGGUUUAAUUCGAUGCAACGCGAAGAACCUUACCAGGACUUGACAUCCCAGGAAUCCGACGUAAUGGUUGGAGUGCCCCUUCGGGGGAAUCUGGUGACAGGUGGUGCAUGGUUGUCGUCAGCUCGUGUCGUGAGAUGUUGGGUUAAGUCCCGCAACGAGCGCAACCCUUACGGUUAGUUGCUACGCAAGAGCACUCUAGCCGGACUGCCGUUGACAAAACGGAGGAAGGUGGGGACGACGUCAAAUCAUCAUGCCCCUUACGUUCUGGGCUACACACGUACUACAAUGGCGUUUAACAAAGGGCAGCGAAGGCGCGAGCCGGAGCAAAUCUCCAAAAAACGUCCCAGUUCAGACUGCAGGCUGCAACUCGCCUGCACGAAGUUGGAAUUGCUAGUAAUCGCGGAUCAGCAUGCCGCGGUGAAUACGUUCCCGGGCUUUGUACACACCGCCCGU